rnacentral:lncRNA from 1 species
UGUUCUGCCACAUCGUGCUGCUUAAGUCUGGGAGCCAGGGUGGGAGGUACUGGGUUACAAGAAGGGAACAGGUGUGAGGGGUGACAACAUACUCAUUCAGCUUUGGACUCGUGCCUGUGGGGGUCCUGUAGGAGAUCUUGCGGACCUGUGCAGUGGGCCGUCGGAAAGGCAAGCCUGACCCUUUCAAGAGAGGUCAGGCCUGGAGACCAAGGGUGAGGCCCCUCCAUAAAGAGAAGGUGGUUGAAGCCCAUGGAUUAGAUGCUUGUGAAGAGCACAGAGUGGGAAGAGAAAGGAGCAGUGACAGAACCAUGAGAAGCACAAUAGAGGGCGGGGAGAGGCAGACCUGACAUGGGGCAGACUCAAAUCCCGCCCUCAUGGACCUUACAGAGCUGCCACAAGCAUUCGUAAUUCUUAUCUAAGCAGACAGGGUCAAGUGACUAAGAGAGGACCAAGGACCUCAUUUCCAGGAGUGAGGCCAGGAAGACUCCAUGAAGGAGGGUGUUUUAACCAGGCUUUGGACCAAGCGCGGGAUGAGGACUGGCAAGAGAUGGUUAGACACACAAAGGCAAGGAGGCUUCAGGAUGUCUGGGAAACUGUGAGAAGUUGGUUAAUAUCUGGUCAGAGGUACUCACAGAAUAAUGCAGAAUUGGAUUAGAAUUCAAAAGCAUUUAAAAAAAUGUGUGAGCCACAGAAUGAAGUUUAGGGAGACUCAAAACUGUGUACUAUUGCUGCAGACACUGAGGCAGAUUAGUGUGCAGGACGACUGUUUCGGAGAGGUGCUGAAGGAAACGCCUGGAGAAGGGGAGAGAAGGAAGCAGGAUUAGGCGUAGGAGAGGUUGGGAGGUGCUGAGGUCUCACUAGUGGCCUCAGGUGACCUCAUGGGGAGCUCGGGAGCUUGGUCAGCCCUGCAGAGCAGUUCCGCACUGGGAAGUCUAGUGGGUUGAAUAGUGGCCCCCAAAAUAUAUGUCCAAGUCCUAACCCUCGGUACCUGUGACUGUGACUUUAUUUGCAUGUAAUUAAGUUAAGCAUCCUGGGGUGUGAUCAGCCUGUGUUUAGGGUGAGCCAAAUCUAAUGACCAGCAUCUUCAUGGGAGAAAGGAGAGGGAGAUUCCACACUCAGACACACAUGGGAGUGGGCCGUGUGAAGACAGGAGCAGAGACUGGGGUGACGCCUCUACAAGCAGAGGCAGCCAAGGAUUGCCUCAGCCACCAGAAACCAGGAGAGAGGCACGGAACAGGCUCUUCCCCAGAGGCUCCAGAAGGAACCAGCCUGCUGAUUUCAGGCUUCCACCUCCAGAAUGGCGAAAGAAUACAUUCUAUUGUUUUCAGCUGCCCAGUUUGUGGUAAUCUGUUUUGGCAGCCUUAGGAAAUGAAUACAGGAGGCCAGGCCUUUUUACCCAGUACGAUCUGUCGUUGGAUGUGGGCUGCCCCGGAAGGAAGCACGAUCCUGGGCGAGCCAGUUUUCUUCAGCAGAGGUGAUCCCCAAAGAGAGCUGACAGCUGAGCACCCUUGUCUGGCAGCACUCCCAGCAGCCUGGGGAAUAAGUUCUCCCUUCCUGAAGGGGGUCUGGAUGACGCAUGACAGCAGCUACUUCUCUGUCCUUCAGUUUCCCCAUCUGCAUAAUGGGAAUAACAAUAAGACCUAUCUUGUAUGGUUGCUAGGAGACAAAAUUAGGUGGGAAUACCCAUGGCUAACAUUUAUUGAGCGCUUACUUUAUAUCUGUCAGGCACACCUGUCCAGAAGUUCAUACUUGUAUGUUGCCCUGCAUAUGGUAAGCACCCAGGAAACAGUAGCUAUUAUCAGAGGGGAGGUGUUCAAGGUCACACAGCUGCCAGAGCCAAGAUCGGAACCCAGAUUUCCUGACUCUCAGGCAAAUGUCCCUUCUUUGAUAAUAGAUCCCCUCUCUGCAUGGGCCUAAUCGUGUCUUCUUUUCAUGACACUAAUAGUGUUUUUAUGCAAUGAAGCAAAAUUUGUGUUUCACAAAAGAAAUGUCAUUUUGCCUUGUCAUCUGAAGGGAAGAGCUUUGAGUUGUCUGAAAUUCAUUCGCACUCUCCGAGCCUCUAGACUUUAUAUGACCAAAGACAUUAAUUUGUGAGACAGGCUGGGGUGGGAGGGGCGGCUGGGUCUGGGCAUGGGUCCCUGCUGCCUACAGCUAAUUGGCUUCACAGGCUCCACAUCCCAGCAUCUGCUGACAGGGCAUUCCUGAGACUGGGGAGAGGCCAGACACUAUCGUUUGAAAGAGGACAAAGUGAAGGACAGAGAGAUUAGCCGAUUUGCCCUCUUAAUUAUGUGGUGAGCUGGAGAUGGAGCCAAGAAUUGAAUCCAGAUUUCUCAAGUCCCAGAUGGGUUUUUUCAUCAGAGGUCCUGCCACAUUCCUUCUCUUGGAACUGCCCCCUCUCUGGAUCCCAGAAACACAUACCUGGGUUGAGUUUGGGGGCGUGUGAUUGUGUGUUACUGCUCCCUUCACAUUAUACGAAUUCUUAAAAAGAAAGAAAGAAAAAGCUCUUACCCUUAGAAAACGGUCACUUACUUGAGACUAGCAUAGAUGAUAUAUAGAUUGCUGAAAUGCUCUUAACCACAUCUAUUUUUCGAGAAUUUUGGCUUGGCAUGUCCAGCACCCUAACAGAGCGCUCUUCAAUUUGACCCGUGCAUUUCUUUCCAGAAGAAUUUGCAUAUAGAAGCAUUAUACAAGUUAUUAAUGUUAAAAGGAAUUUUCUCCUCUAUUCAAAAAUUCGAGAUAAAAUUCACAUUGACACAGUCUGGGACUACAAAUGAGCAGUGGCUAUCCAAAAAUUUCCAUAUGCAAACUUCCCCACACAGAGGGCACUUUAGGAACAACACUGUGGGCUUUUACCACUAGAGGGCUUGACCUAAAUUACACACUUAAAAAGAUUGUUCCAAGGGACUGGCCCAGCAGAGCGGUUAACUUCAUGCUCUCCACUGCAGUGGCCUGGGGCUCACUGGUUUGCAUCCUGGGUUUGGACCAGUGCACUGCUUAUCAAGUCAUGCUGUGGCAGGAGUCUCACAUAUAAAAUAGAGGAAGGUGGACACAGAUGUUAGCUCAUGGCUAAUCUUCCUCAAAAAAAAAAAAAAAAAAUUGUUCCAAAUACAGUUGUCACACAUUUCCAGAUUUUCAGGUAGUUAACUUCCCAACAAGGUAACUUGCCACAGAUUCCUGUUACUGUUGGCUUUAGAUACAUACAUAUCCCUGUGAUGUGCUCCCCUCCUCCAACCAAAUUCUAUAUUUUAAAAGUAUCAAUGAUACAAGAAAUAAACCAGUUUGCUGACUUUGAUCUAACUGGUUACUGGCCACACUGUUUUGGUGACUCUUUCUGUGAAACUGCCAAGCUAAAUGCCAUCUCGUGAGGCUGCUGGGCGAUCAUCCUGCUUGGCCUCCCCUGUCAGCUCCUUUGCCCCAGCCUGGAUCUUCUCGGGAAACAGAUUUCUCUUUGUGUCUUCCUGUGCUGGUGGGCAGAAGGGGGUUUGGUCAUUCUUUCCUUCGAAGAGCUGAGAAGUUCUUUAAGACAGCAAACAGCUAGAUGGUUUGUUUGACUGGCCAGUCAUUCAUUCACUUAUUCAACUGAUAUUCACUGACACCUAUUACAUUCCAGGCACUGAAAGAGAACACAGGGCUGAUUCCUUGACCUUUUGCAGUUCAUAGUCUAGUGAGGAAUACGAAUAAUUACAAAGGUGCGUUGACAAUUUGGGUAAAAUUCGGUUAGUUUUGGGAAGGAGGCACUUUUAGAAAGACUCUUUUACAGCCCUCAGCACUGUUAUUGCGUGAACUGGCUCAGCAUGGCCGGCCCAGUGAAGGACGCCAGUGGUAGUAACCGGGGAAGAGGGAUCCCCUGGCUCUUCUUACCAAACUUCUUCGAUCGUUUGGAGUGGUUUGGCCAUCAGUUAGUCAGGAAGAGGCCAGAAGGACACGUGCUGAUAAUGCUUCAAGAAAGUUAAACUUUAGGAAAAACUCGACCGAAGUAAAAAUAGCUAUGUAGUCAGUGACCAAAGCUACUUGGAUGGUCCUGUUGAUUGCUCUUGUGCAUUUUAUCACACGAAUACAGGCUUUCCCCUAAAAGUUGAAAAUAAAGAAGGGAAAUGUGAUGAAUGGCA